rnacentral:rRNA from 1 species
UACGUAGGCAGCAAGCGUUGUUCGGAGUUGCUGGGCGUAAAGGGUGUGUAGGCGGUUGUUUAAGUUUGGUGUGAAAUCUCCCGGCUCAACCGGGAGGGUGCGCCGAAUACUGAAUAACUAGAGUGCGGGAGAGGAAAGUGGAAUUCCUGGUGUAGCGGUGAAAUGCGUAGAUAUCAGGAGGAACACCGGUGGUGUAGACGGCUUUCUGGACCGUAACUGACGCUGAGACACGAAAGCGUGGGUAGCAAACAGG